AGAAACGGUGUCUAUUUGAGGGCCCCCCAAGGCUUUUCACAAGCAUAGCAGAGACAUUUGCAUGUCUUACAGCACACUAGCUUAUCCACUGCACUCACAGAAAUGCUGUGAAACUUUGGCUCUCUCUAACUCAGGUGCCACUCAUAAUAACAACCACAUCCUUGGAUGCAGGAUGAAGCUGGGGACUUGAGGACCCAGGCACGCUCAGGCAAGGGCAAGUAGCUGAUUUGUUGGGAUUUGGCCCACAUAACACUAAACUCAUACACUGUUUUUGUUUUUCUUUAUUGUAGCUGACUGAGAGGCUAACAGGCAGUCAUGGGGCCCUCUGAGGCAGACUCAUUUCAGGUCCAACGACGAUUCACAUCACCGGUCAUCAAAAAGAUACGUUGGGGGCCACUGCCUGGAGAUGGGAUGAUGCAGGCGGAUAAAAUCCAUGGCAGAGCGCCCCAUCCCGGCUGAGGGGGUUCCUCCGAGCAGGAAGUAAAGCCAGAUAUCAGCAGUCAAGGCAAUCCAUUUGGAGUAUGCCAAGCCCCCCUCUCCAGCCGGCUGAUGGACGGGAUUGCUGCUUUUGUGAGCCCUGUGGAGGUAUUGCAGUACUCUGUGAUGAAGCCCUGAACCUUUCUGUUUAAAGGUGCCAUCGGGCUGGCCUUUGGCAGCCGAUGAGGAG